rnacentral:rRNA from 1 species
GUCAAAUCAUCAUGCCCUUUAUGAUUUGGGCUACACACGUAAUACAAUGGCACUUUAACAGAGGGAUGCGAAGCCGCGAGGCGGAGCGAAACCCCAAAAAGUGUCCCAGUUCGGAUUGCAGGCUGCAACCCGCCUGCAUGAAGUCGGAAUUGCUAGUAAUCGCGGAUCAGCACGCCGCGGUGAAUACGUUCCCGGGCCUU